AUAAUCAAAACUUUCAACAACGGACCUCUUGGUUCUGGCAUCGAUGAAGAACGCAGCGAAAUGCGAAAAGUAAUAGUGAAUUGCAGAAUUCAGUGAAUCAUCGAAUCUUUGAACGCACAUUGCGCCCGCCAGUAUUCUGGCGGGCAUGCCUGUCUGAGCGUC
rnacentral:rRNA from 1 species